AAACAAAUAAGAUAUGGAGGAUCAGAUGGGGAAAUGGAGAUUGGACAAGCAGAAACCGAAAGCCCAAACAACCCAGAAGGAGAGAUAAUAAAUACCUGCCGCCUCUGACGUUCUGGGCAGUGGAUGGAGACUUGCAGCAGCCGGCUGAGAAUUGUCUCUGCCCAGAGGAUGGGAUGUCUGUUCUGUCUGCAGCAGAAGUGAGGAACCGUGGGACAGCUGCCAAAUAAAGUGAAGUUCCUGGAGUUUUGACACCUUGUAAAGACAUUCCAGUGGAUUCUAGCACACCCAAACAGAUGGUGUGAAAGGAGUACAGGGGAAGAAAUUUAGACCUCUGCCAGAUUCUUCUGUAUUCUAGGGAUAGACUGACUUUUUCCACACACAAAAAUUGGAGCCAGGAGAACUGUCAAAGAAAGGAAGUAAACAUUACAAGGGGUUCAAAUACAAUUGGACCUCAGGAAAGUGCAUGUGAAAGGCACACUUAAAAUGCUGUAAAAAGAACUGAAUUCGAGUGUUUCUGCAUGUUACCCUGAUGAAAUCUUUUCAGCUUGACACAUCUUAAAAAGGCAACUAAAGAGAACUCAACUAUUACUCGGAAUCAUCUGUCACAUCCAUCACUCAGAAAUCCCUCAAAGUGAUUCUGACUUAGAGGAAAGAAAGCACACUUCCUCGACGUCUCUGUUUACUUUCACCUCUGGAGAAAAGUCUCACGGUUGACCUGGAUCUCAGGAACCAGACACUGCUCAGAAGGAACCCGUUGACAGAAAGUCUUAGCCUUCUGGGGCUGUUAAUAAUAAUAAUAAUUGUGGUAUUUAAAUGCUUACUAUGUGCCGGGCACCAUACUAAGCUUUG